CCUACGGGAGGCAGCAGUGGGGGAUAUUGCACAAUGGGGGAAACCCUGAUGCAGCGACGCCGCGUGAGUGAAGAAGUAUUUCGGUAUGUAAAGCUCUAUCAGCAGGGAAGAAAAUGACAGUACCUGACCAAGAAGCCCCGGCUAACUACGUGCCAGCAGCCGCGGUAAUACGUAGGUGGCAAGCGUUGUCCGGAUUUACUGGGUGUAAAGGGCGUGCAGCCGGGAAGACAAGUCAGAUGUGAAAUCCCGGGGCUCAACCGCGGAACUGCAUUUGAAACUGUUUCUCUUGAGUACCGGAGAGGUCAGCGGAAUGCCUGGUGUAGCGGUGAAAUGCGUAGAUAUAAGGAAGAACACCAGUGGCGAAGGCGGAUGACUGGACGGCAACUGACGGUGAGGCGCGAAAGCGUGGGGAGCAAACAGGAUUAGAUACCCGGGUAGUC
rnacentral:rRNA from 1 species